rnacentral:rRNA from 1 species
UACAGAGGUCCCAAGCGUUGUUCGGAUUCACUGGGCGUAAAGGGUGCGUAGGUGGCGAAGUAAGUCGGAUGUGAAAUCUCCGAGCUCAACUCGGAAAUGGCAUUGGAAACUACUUUGCUCGAGGGUCGGAGGGGGGACUGGAAUUCUCGGUGUAGCAGUGAAAUGCGUAGAUAUCGUAAGGAAGACCAGUGGCGAAGGCGGGUCUCUGGACAGUUCCUGACGCUGAGGCACGAAGGUCAGGGGAGCAAACGGG